CCUACGGGACGCAGCAGUGAGGAAUAUUGGUCAAUGGGCGCGAGCCUGAACCAGCCAAGUCGCGUGAGGGAAGACGGUCCUAUGGAUUGUAAACCUCUUUUGUCGGGGAGCAAAAGACGCCACGCGUGGCGUUCCGAGAGUACCCGAAGGAAAAGCAUCGGCUAACUCCGUGCCAGCAGCCGCGGUAAUACGGAGGAUGCGAGCGUUAUCCGGAUUUAUUGGGUUUAAAGGGUGCGCAGGCGGAAGAUCAAGUCAGCGGUAAAAUCGCGGGGCUCAACCUCGUUCCGCCGUUGAAACUGGCGUUC
rnacentral:rRNA from 1 species